GGCAAGAUGGCCGAGCGGUCUAAGGCGCCAGGUUAAGGUUUACCUUGACAGACAACUCUCCGAGUUUCCUGGUCAUCGUUUGAUGGCGUGGGUUCGAAUCCCACUCUUGUCA
rnacentral:tRNA from 1 species